AGGCCGUUCUCAGUUCGGAUCGGAGUCUGCAACCCGACUCCGUGAAGCUGGAUUCGCUAGUAAUCGCGCAUCAGCCAUGGCGCGGUGAAUACGUUCCCGGGCCUUGUACACACCGCCCGUCAAGCCAUGGAAGCCGGGGGCGCUUGAAGUGCGUUGCCGCAAGGCGCGCCCUAGAGCGAAACCGGUGACUGGGGCUAAGUCGUAACAAGGUAAC
rnacentral:rRNA from 1 species